rnacentral:rRNA from 2 species
UACGAAGGGGGCUAGCGUUGCUCGGAAUCACUGGGCGUAAAGGGCGCGUAGGCGGCUUAUCAAGUCGGGGGUGAAAGCCCGUGGCUCAACCACGGAAUGGCCUUCGAUACUGGUAGGCUUGAGACCGGAAGAGGACAGCGGAACUGCGAGUGUAGAGGUGAAAUUCGUAGAUAUUCGCAAGAACACCAGUGGCGAAGGCGGCUGUCUGGUCCGGUUCUGACGCUGAGGCGCGAAAGCGUGGGGAGCAAACAGG